GAGUUUGAUCCUGGCUCAGGAUGAACGCUAGCGGCAGGCUUAAUACAUGCAAGUCGAGGGGUAAGGCUCAUUUCGGUGAGUACACGACCGGCGCACGGGUGCGUAACGCGUAUGCAACCUACCUUUAACAGGGGGAUAGCCCGAAGAAAUUCGGAUUAACACCCCAUAAUAUUGUUUUACGGCAUCAUAGGACAAUUAAAACUCCGGUGGUUAAAGAUGGGCAUGCGUGACAUUAGCUGGUUGGUGAGGUAACGGCUCACCAAGGCGACGAUGUCUAGGGGUUUUGAGAGGAUGAUCCCCCACACUGGUACUGAGACACGGACCAGACUCCUACGGGAGGCAGCAGUAAGGAAUAUUGGUCAAUGGGCGCAAGCCUGAACCAGCCAUGCCGCGUGCAGGAAGACAGCCUUAUGGGUUGUAAACUGCUUUUAUACGGAAAGAAAAUUCACUACGUGUAGGGACUGACGGUACCGUAAGAAUAAGCAUCGGCUA
rnacentral:rRNA from 1 species